rfam:Gossypium hirsutum cultivar TM-1 chromosome 16, whole genome shotgun sequence
UUGCCUUAAACUAAUGAGUAAGGAAAACAAAGCGAGCGGUGGGAGCUGCCCGCCGCGCCCAAACCUAUAAGGUGCGCAAGAAUUUGUGGAGGGGUAAUAGGCUGGCCGAGGGUUGACGCUGCACUUACUUUGUGCAGAACUCACUUGUGCGGGCCUCCC